rnacentral:rRNA from 1 species
AACGUAGGAGACGAAACGUUAUCCGGAGUUACUGGGCGUAAAGAGCGCGCAGGCGGUCGCGUCAAGUCGCGUGUGAAAGCCCCCGGCUCAACUGGGGAGGGCACGCGAUACUGAUCGACUCGAAGGCAGGAGAGGGUAGUGGAAUUCCCGGUGUAGUGGUGGAAAUGACGUAGAUAUCGGGAGGAACACCAGUGGCGAAGGCGGGUCUCUGGGCCGAUACUGACGCUGAGGAGCGAAAGCGUGGGGAGCGAACGAGGA